UGAACACUGGCGUGGGCAAAAAAUCUAACGUCAGUUGGGUCGUUUUGGGCCAAUCAUGCAUGUCAGGCAGCGUCUAGGCUUCCUUCUCCACCCGUGCCAUGAAGGAUGUGAGCCCCACCGAAACACUUCUGCAGUAUGACUAAUCUGGCGUUCCCCCUCUGAGCCACUCCUGCAUCUCCUCCCAGUGCCAUGGAGAAAGGCUGAAGCUGGAGCUUUCAUCCUGACCAGCUGGAGCGUGAUGGAGCAGGAAUCCUCAUGGGGUUUCAGCCCAGUCCGCUGAUAUUUGCAGUCGUUGGAUGCUGUUGGAGAACACCGAGGGAUUGCAUUGCCGAGUUGCG
rnacentral:lncRNA from 1 species